rnacentral:rRNA from 1 species
AACGAACGCUGGCGGCAUGCCUAACACAUGCCAGUCGAACGAGACCUUCGGGUCUAGUGGCGCACGGGUGCGUAACGCGUGGGAACCUGCCCUUAGGUUCGGAAUAACUCCCCGAAAGGGGUGCUAAUACCGGAUAAUGUCUUCGGACCAAAGAUUUAUCGCCUUUGGAUGGGCCCGCGUUGGAUUAGCUAGUUGGUAGGGUAAAAGCCUACCAAGGCGACGAUCCAUAGCUGGUCUGAGAGGAUGAUCAGCCACACUGGGACUGAGACACGGCCCAGACUCCUACGGGAGGCAGCAGUGGGGAAUAUUGGACAAUGGGCGAAAGCCUGAUCCAGCAAUGCCGCGUGAGUGAUGAAGGCCUUAGGGUUGUAAAGCUCUUUUACCCGGGAUGAUAAUGACAGUACCGGGAGAAUAAGCUCCGGCUAACUACGUG